GAUGAAGAACGUAGCGAAACGCGAUAUGUAAUGUGAAUUGCAGAAUUCAGUGAAUCAUCGAAUCUUUGAACGCACCUUGCGCCCCUUGGUAUUCCGAGGGGCAUGCCUGUUCGAGCGUCAUUUACCCCCUCAAGCUCCGCUUGGUGUUGGGCGUCUGUCCCGCUUCGCGCGCGGACUCGCCCCAAAGGUAUUGGCAGCGGUCGUGCCAGCUUCUCGCGCAGCACAUUGCGCUUCUCGAGGCACCGGUGGGCCCGCGUCCAUCAAGCUCACCCCCCCAGUUUGACCUCGGAUCAGGUAGGGAUACCCGCUGAACUUAAGCAUAUCAAUAAGCGGAGGA
rnacentral:misc_RNA from 1 species